AUACUACUUCCCCCACUACCUGAGGGACUUUUUCCCUUAAUUCCCUUGAUCUGGUAACGCUGCUCAGGACCAGGGUUUCCGGAGGGGUUCCUCGCACAAGCAGAGGUCGUCAACCGCCACUUUCGAUACAACCAUAAAGGACGGUCUCCUCUACAAAAUAUUCGAAAUUCGACAAAAUCAAAGUUAAGGCUUCCUUCUCUGCAUAAUUACCGGGGAUUGGAAUCGAGCAGAACGAAACUGGGAAUGUUAGCCAGAAAAAGUACCAGAAUAUACAUCUUGGCAAUUGAAAGGAUCGAGGAAGGCAGAUGCCCUAACAUCUGCUCAACAAAGAAAAAAAAAUAUUCGGAAUGGUUGACCCUCGGAAUGGGACAAGCAACUGCUUGGAGCCCUCAACGAAGUAGGGGAUGGGGAGAUGGGCAAGCUGCCAUCGCCUGAGCAGGAGUACAAAGAGCUGGGAAAUAAAAGAUGAAUUAUGCAAGAGGAUAGAGCGUGUUAUUCGAGAAGAUUGAAGCAGAGUCGACAUACUACAGUGAAUACCGGUUAAGAAAGAAAAAAGUGGCGGUCGAAAAAUACUGAAUGAAAAAUGGAGUCGUAGGGGCAGUGGACAAAGACUUAGAGGCCAGGGCUACACGAGCGUUGAGCCGGUGCUGUGUUGCGUAGCUACAUACAUGCACGCUAAAUGUUCUACAAGGCUCACGCGUGUGUGCGUGCGGUUCUACAACGCAGGGUCGAUCUAACACUCGUGUAGCCCCGAUCUUAGGUGCGAAAACGUUGGGGGGACAAGACGGUAUGCUGAGUAAAAGAACCUAAAGCAUAGGUUGUGGGAGCUGGAGGAAGAGAGUUUUCGUCACAUGUAACUAUGCAACGGAAUGCAGGGAAGCGGGGCAAGGAGGCAGAGAUUUGGAUGCGGGACAUGAUGGGAAAUGACGAAUGAAAGGAGGAUAUGAAUGAUGUAUUACAAGGAAGAUUGGUGAGAGA